rnacentral:rRNA from 1 species
CAGUCGCCGCGGUAAUACGAAGGGUGCAAGCGUUAAUCGGAAUUACUGGGCGUAAAGCGUGCGUAGGCGGUGAGUUAAGUCUGCUGUGAAAUCCCUGGGCUCAACCUGGGAAUUGCGAUGGAUACUGGGCGACUAGAGUGCGGUAGAGGAUAGUGGAAUUUCCGGUGUAGCAGUGAAAUGCGUAGAGAUCGGAAGGAACAUCUGUGGCGAGGGCGACUAUCUGGGCCAACACUGACACUGAGACACGAAAGCGUGGGGAGCAAACAGGAUUAGAUACCCCGGUAGUCCCUGUCUCUUAUAC